UACGUAGGGGGCUAGCGUUGUCCGGAAUCAUUGGGCGUAAAGAGCGUGUAGGCGGUCCGGUAAGUCCGCUGUGAAAGUCGGGGGCUCAACCCUCGAAUGCCGGUGGAUAUGUCGGGCUAGAGUGCGGAAGAGGCGAGUGGAAUUCCUGGUGUAGCGGUGAAAUGCGCAGAUAUCAGGAGGAACACCUAUUGCGAAGGCAGCUCGCUGGGACGUAACUGACGCUGAGACGCGAAAGCGUGGGGAGCAAACAGG
rnacentral:rRNA from 1 species